rnacentral:rRNA from 1 species
CCUACGGGAGGCAGCAGUAGGGAAUCUUCCACAAUGGACGAAAGUCUGAUGGAGCAACGCCGCGUGAGUGAUGAAGGUUUUCGGAUCGUAAAACUCUGUUGUAAGGGAAGAACAAGUACGUUAGGAAAUGAACGUACCUUGACGGUACCUUAUUAGAAAGCCACGGCUAACUACGUGCCAGCAGCCGCGGUAAUACGUAGGUGGCAAGCGUUGUCCGGAUUUAUUGGGCGUAAAGCGCGCGCAGGUGGUUUCUUAAGUCUGAUGUGAAAGCCCACGGCUCAACCGUGGAGGGUCAUUGGAAACUGGGAGACUUGAGUGCAGAAGAGGAAAGUGGAAUUCCAAGUGUAGCGGUGAAAUGCGUAGAGAUUUGGAGGAACACCAGUGGCGAAGGCGACUUUCUGGUCUGUAACUGACGCUGAGGCGCGAAAGCAUGGGGAGCAAACAGGAUUAGAUACCCUGGUAGUCCAUGCCGUAAACGAUGAGUGCUAAGUGUUAGGGGGUUUCCGCCCCUUAGUGCUGCAGCUAACGCAUUAAGCACUCCGCCUGGGGAGUACGACCGCAAGGUUGAAACUCAAAGGAAUUGACGGGGGCCCGCACAAGCGGUGGAGCAUGUGGUUUAAUUCGAAGCAACGCGAAGAACCUUAC